UACGUAGGGUGCGAGCGUUGUCCGGAAUUAUUGGGCGUAAAGAGCUCGUAGGCGGUUUGUCGCGUCGGCCGUGAAAACUUGGGGCUUAACUCCAAGCUUGCGGUCGAUACGGGCAGACUUGAGUUCGGCAGGGGAGACUGGAAUUCCUGGUGUAGCGGUGAAAUGCGCAGAUAUCAGGAAGAACACCAAUGGCGAAAGCAGCUUUCUGGGACGGUACUGACGCUGAGACGCGAAAGCGUGGGGAGCGAACAGG
rnacentral:rRNA from 1 species